rnacentral:rRNA from 1 species
GAUGAACGCUGGCGGCGUGCUUAACACAUGCAAGUCGAACGGUGAAGCAGAGCUUGCUCUGUGGAUCAGUGGCGAACGGGUGAGUAACACGCGAGCAACCUGCCCUGGACUCUGGGAUAAGCGCUGGAAACGGCGUCUAAUACUGGAUACGAGACGUGGCCGCAUGGUCAACGUUUGGAAAGAUUUUUUGGUUCAGGAUGGGCUCGCGGCCUAUCAGCUUGUUGGUGAGGUAAUGGCUCACCAAGGCGUCGACGGGUAGCCGGCCUGAGAGGGUGACCGGCCACAAUGGGACUGAGACACGGCCCAGACUCCUACGGGAGGCAGCAGUGGGGAAUAUUGCACAAUGGGCGAAAGCCUGAUGCAGCAACGCCGCGUGAGGGAUGACGGCCUCCGGGUUGUAAACCUCUUUUAGCAAGGAAGAAGCGAAAGUGACGGUACUUGCAGAAAAAGCGCCGGCUAACUACGUGCCAGCCGCCGCGGUAAUAC